AACCAAGUCGAGUAGCAAAGUUGUCGCUCCAAAUCGAACUUGCUGCUGCACCAUCUUCACCAAGUCGAACUUGCAGCAGCCAGGUACCAUAGUCGCUCAACUUGAUCUCUCUGGUAGCUCAUCCGGCAAGACUGCUCAAUGUGUUUGUUGGUUUCUCUUUCAUUUACGGACAUCUUGGGCUUGCUGGGUGCAGAAUUAAGAAGCCCAAUCAUCAUCAGGGAUGAAAAAAGGAGAGAAGCACGGGAAGAGGUACUAGUAGAAGAGGAAGAAAUAAUGUGAAAAAUGAGAUAAAUGUGAGAAUAGCAAGUAGUAAAGCAUGAGAGGGAUUCAGAUUUUGUUUUCACAUUCUUGCUGUACACGUACCUUUGGUCUGUAGAUGCACCGUAAUGAAUCUAGGAAGUAUGAAUGGUUCAUACCUCAAUGGUGCACUAUGCAUCUUUGGCAGGUUUUUAUGCAUUUUUAAAUGGUUGUGGAGCAAUUUAAUGGUGGGCUAUGUACUGAAGUA